ACUCUUAAAGGUUUCUUAGCUGAGGUGUGUAUUAACAUAUCUCCUUGUUUAAUUCUUUCUCGCUUAGGUGGCUUUAGGGCCUCCAAAUGUGUUUUACUAGCUGUUACCUUAAUCUUUGUGAAAUGAUAAAAUGUUUUUCUUUAUUGUAUAUUUCUUUUGAAAUUUUCUUACAAAUUUCUUAGGAUGGUGAAUGUUUAUAAAGUGGAAGGAAAAUUUGGCGACAAUGUUUUUGAUGAGUCAGAGAACAUAUUCUUAAAGGAAGAUGCUUGUGAAAUGUCAAUUUUAUUUUGGAUGUUGGUCGGAAAUUUAUCUAUUUCUUCUAUUAUUACGAUAAUACGGAACAUGGCUUUUUUCUUCAAUUUGUUCAGGAAAAUAUAUUUUAAUUUGGUGUUCCUGUUUAAUUAUUAACAUGCAUCCAUUUUUUAUUUGGUGAAGUUUUAAAUCCAUUACUUUGUAAUCUUCUUGAGCUAUUUGUCAGUUUUGAAUAUGUGGCUGCAGUGGGA
rnacentral:misc_RNA from 1 species